AGUGAACGCUGGCGGUAGGCCUAACACAUGCAAGUCGAACGGCAGCACAGUAAGAGCUUGCUCUUACGGGUGGCGAGUGGCGGACGGGUGAGGAAUACAUCGGAAUCUACUUUUUCGUGGGGGAUAACGUAGGGAAACUUACGCUAAUACCGCAUACGACCUACGGGUGAAAGCAGGGGAUCUUCGGACCUUGCGCGAUUGAAUGAGCCGAUGUCGGAUUAGCUAGUUGGCGGGGUAAAGGCCCACCAAGGCGACGAUCCGUAGCUGGUCUGAGAGGAUGAUCAGCCACACUGGAACUGAGACACGGUCCAGACUCCUACGGGAGGCAGCAGUGGGGAAUAUUGGACAAUAGGCGCAAGCCUGAUCCAGCCAUACCGCGUGGGUGAAGAAGGCCUUCGGGUUGUAAAACCCUUUUGUUGGGAAAGAAAAGCAGCAGGUUAAUACCCCGCUGUUCUGACGGUACCCAAAGAAUAAGCACCGGCUAACUUCGUG
rnacentral:rRNA from 1 species